UACAUAAGGACCAUUAGGAAAAGGCAUAGGAGAGUUUUAUCUUGCCUUCCUAAUAGGAAAUUAUUAACAAUUCUUGGGGCAAAAUCUUGACCGCUCGUCCCUAGUUUGGAACUAGGUGGCUCGAGCUCAAGUUCGAGCCACGGCUGCCCCUCAGCUCAGAUAGGAUGAUACUGCCUUCGUUCUUCUCUAAAUACUUUUUCUUUGUUCAUUGACUGAUCUUAGUUCUCUUUUGUAGCUAUGUCAAAAAGGAUAGAUAUACAAAAGCUUUCCCAAAUGGCAAAAUGAGAGGAUCCAAGCGUUCCACACUGGCGGAUAAGGGUGUGGUUAUAAGUGAGAAGCAUCCCCAAGAUGAGGUUCCUGACAUCUUACCCACCGAGAAGGUCAAAUCUACGGCCAACUCGAAGGGGAAUGGGACCACGUUGCUUCUCGGGGCUAAGAAAAAGUAUAAGGCGACACCGACCAAUAUGGCGAGCAAGGGAGCAAGGCCAUCUAUGGCUCUCGGAAAAGGUACUUCAGCUAUUCCUAGUGAUGUCUUAGGGCUCAUCGCCUCCAUGCUGAACAACCCUGCUAUGGCAAAAAAGCUCCUUGAUGGUGUGAUCCCACCUUUCGACAUGGAGGAAGUGGGCAAAUUGGACCUCGAUCGGGCGAUCUCAAGGCUUUUCCAUAGAGUCGGUCAGGUAAUUACCAACUUUCAAAUUAAGAUUGCCUUUCCUCAUUUUCAUUCCUCUAACAAGUUUAAUUUCUUACAAGUGGUAGUGCUUGCUUUUUCCCUCGCUGGACGUGGCAAAGAGUUGAGGGAGAAGGCGAUGACUGGGCAGGCCCGAGCUAGUUUAGUUUGAAUUGAGAUGCUCUGGGCUCAACAACUUGUCAAAGAGCUGAAAAGACAAGUGACUAAUAUUGGGGCCCGGGAAAAGCAGGCUAUUGAGGAGUUGAAGAAGAUGAAGGAGGACCAGAAUUUCACCGUGGAGAGGCUCGAGAAGGAGAUCGCUGAGCUUAAGAAGAAAGAGGUCCUCGCCAAGGAGUCAAUCAUCAAAGAAUACAAGACCUCAUAUGACUUUCAAGAGGAGGUGAAACUAACUGUUUCCAAAUAUUAUGGCGAGGCUUUGACUUGUGCAAGAAAUGAGUUGGGCGCCUCCAUCCCGAGCUCAACAUCCAGGAUUUGGAGAUUGACGAUGAGUUGGCUAAGGAAGGGGAAGACGACGAGGAGGAGGAUGACGAGGAGAAAGAUGCAGAAAAAGGGCGAUACUAGCCCUCUUUUUCCUUAGGCAUUUGUAAUUUUUUUCCCAAUUAUAAUGGCGAGGUCAAUGUAAGACCGAUAUUAAUUCAAUAGCAAUGUCUUUACUUCCAUUGGUGAUAUCAUGAUCAACGAAAUUGGCAAGACAAACUUUUCGAACAAAACUUAACAACCCGGUAAUCAUGCUAAGUUUAACUCACCUUGAUUAGGCAAGCAUCAAACUUAACUAUGGCGAUCAGAUUAAUUCAGCGAGCUUGAUUAAUAGGAGAACAAGGCUGAUUCAAGUUGCCUUAACUUGGGCAAACAUUAAACAUUAUCAUGGUGAUAGGAAUAAUCAAGCGAAUCAACAUUGGUGAUCAAGAUGCCUUGGCGAAUAAUUUGCAAAUUUCUCAAUAACAAGCAAAUAGGAGAUGUUGAUAUUGGCGAUAACAAAAAUUUGUUUUAAUCCGUUUAUAUGGUGAAACUAGUGAAAUCAUGGUGAAUAACAUUUGAAAUUGGCGACAUAACCCACUUUAGUGAAUACUAGCGAUUUAAUGAUAUUGGAUUGGAGUGAAGUUACAUAGGGUUUUGGCGAUCAUAAUGAGAUUUUUUUUAUAAAAACAUGAUUUUGGAGACAUUAUAUUACUUAGGAGAUCUUCUUCAAAUGGCAAACAUAGAGACUACUGAUAAUAUUUCUUCAAAUGUUCAGUAUUCCAGGGAUGAGGUAGUGUCUUCUCGCUCAUGUCUUCUAGCCAAUAAGUUCUUGGCCUGAACACCUUGUCAACUUUGUAGGGAUCUUCCCACGUAGGGCUGAGCUUUCUAGAAUUAAGCUCUGUUGUAGAUGAAAUGACUUUCUUAAAGACUAAGUCGCCAAGCAAGAAUGACUUGUGCUUAACUCUUCGAUUAUAGUAUUUGGGAACCUAGUGCUUGUAGGCAACUUGGCAUACCUCAACUCGCUCCCUCUUUUUGUCAAGAAGAUCAAGGUUAAGCCUUAGCUUGACUUCAUUGUCCUCCUUGUCAAAAUUUGAGGUCUUGAAACUCGGCACUUCUAUCUUCACUGGUAUAACUGAUUCUGUCCUGUACACCGAAGAGUAUGGUAUUUCAUUCGUAGGGACUCUGCUCAUCGUGUGGUAGGCCCAUAGUACAAUCAUAAGACCUUUUGCCUAUUCGCCUUUGGAUAUUUUUAACCUCGCCUUCAAAUUCCUCAAGAUCGUUCUGUUGUUGAUUUUCACUUGGCCAUUUACUUGAGGAUGACUUGGCGAGGAGAAAUGGUGGGGGAUGGCAAGGUCUGGGGAAAACCGUUUGAACCCAUCAUUGUCAAAUUGCCUUGCGUUGUCCGAGAUAAUAACCUUUGGAAUCCCAAAUCGACAAAUAAUAUUCUUCCAAACAAAAUUCUUGGUAUUCUUCUUAGUGAUUUUGGCAAGAGGUUUUGCCUCUAUCCACUUUGUGACGUAAUCUAUAGCGACAAUCAAGAAAUUUAUUUGUAAUGAAGCUUGAGGUAAAGGUCCGAGUAUGUCAAUUUUUCACUGAAUGAAUGGCCAUGGGCUGGUCAUUGGCACAAUCUCGGUAUGAGGGACAAAACUUAUUGGAGCAAACCUUUGGCAAUUGUCACAUUUUUUGUGAAUGAUAUUGCAUCUCAUUCCAUUUGAGGACAAAAAUAUCCUUGAAGAACUGCCUUUCCUACCAGUGAUCUCGCCCCUGAAUGGCAUCUGUAGACCCCUUCAUGAAUUUCCCUAAGCACGUAAUUUGCUUCAUCAAGUCGGAGACACCUCAGGAGUGGCCUGAAGAAAACCUCUUGUAUAAAAUCUCACGGAGUAAGUAAAAUCUGGUUGCUCAAUACUAGAUUCAUUGUGCUUGGAGCCUGUCUAGUGGAAGCUCCCCCUCUUUGAGGUAAGCGACAAGGUCAUUCAUCUACAUCGGAUCUGUUGCUGAUUGACAUACAGUUUUGGCGACAUCAAUACUUGGGUUUGGCAAAAAUUCCAAAGGGAUACUCUUAUCCGAGAUGAAAUUGAAGGCUGAGGCUAGGUUAGCCAGGGCAUCAGCCUUCUUGUUUUCUUAUCUCAGAAUUUGGCUAAUCUUGAAAUUCUUGAUCUUCACAUACACGAUCCUCACCUCAUCUAGAUAGGCCAUCAUUUGGAGGUCCUUGGCGAGGUAAUCUCUUUGGACUUGAUUUACCACAAGCUGAGAAUCAUUGUAGGCUUCCAGAGAUUUUACUCUUAGUUCUGUUGUGACCCUCAAUUCAGCGAGGAUGGUUCAUAUUCAGGCUCAUGUGGCCUUGAAUCCAAUACGUAUUGCAUAUUUCAUUUGCUCCCCCUAAAGGAUUUUGGAGGACAAGUCUGACACCAUAGCCAUGCUGGUUGGAGAACUUGUCUACGAGCAACUUCCAACUGGCGAGGUCAUCAUCAUCUUGGUUUCGUUCUUCAAAUGCUUCUACCUCAGGAUUUAGAGCAUCAUCAUAUGUAAACUUGGCUAUAAAAUUAGCCAAUGCUUGAGCUUUGAUCGCCAUUCUUGGUCGGUAGUUUAGCUCAAUAUAUCUAAUCGCCCCAAAGUAUCAAGUCGUUGGAGAAUUUGCUUUAAGGGUUGAGCAUAGAAAUAAUGACGAAGUUUCGUUGAGGUGAUCAAGAGGGCAUAUGUGAGCUUCUCAAUCUUCAAGUACUUAGUUUUAGCUCCUAUAAGGACCUUGUUGACAUAGUAUACAGGCUUUUAAAAUUUAUCUUCUUCUCGGAUGAGCACUGCAUUUACUAUUGUGGGUGAUAUAGACAAAUAUAAGAUGUGUUCCUCACCCAUACUAGGAACUGUGAGGAAAGGUGGUGAACCAAGAUACUUAUUUAGCUGCUAGAAUGCCAUCUCGAAUUUAUCUGUCCACUCAAAGGCUUUUUAUUCUUCCUCAAAAUUUUCAAAAACGAUAAGCAUUUGUCUGCCGACUUCAAAAUAAAAUCUAUUAAGUGCGACCACUCACCUGGUCAGUUGUUGCACUUCAUGUAUGUUUCUAGGCGAGCUCAUCGCGAGUAGAGCUUGAAUCUAGUUUGGGUUUGUCUCGAUUCCUCGCUUAGUCACUAGGAAAUUAAGGAAUUUACUUAGUGAUAUGCCAAAGGUGCAUUUGAAGGGGUUUAGCAUCAUGCGGUGCUUUCGCAGAAUACCAAAUGUUUCAUCUAGUUGGGCAGUAUGGUUGACUGCACUAAGGUUUUUGACCAGUAUGUCAUCUAUGUAGACCUCCAUCUUUUUUCCAAUCAUUUCCUUGAAUAUCUUAUUGACCAAUCUCUGGUACGUCGUCCCUACAUUCUUUAACCCGAAAGGCAUGACUUUGUACCAAUAUAAUCCUCUUUCUAUGAUGAAAGAAGUCUUCUCUAUGUCAGGAGGAUGCAUUUUGAUCUGAUGAUACCUUGAAUAGGCGUCCACGAAACUAAGAAGUUCAUGUUUAGAAGUUGCAUCCACGAUCAAAUCAAUUUUGGGUAGAGAAAAACUGUUUUUGGGGCAAACCUUGUUCAAGUCGGUAAAGUCAACACAUACUUUCCAUUGCCACCUUUCUUUGGGGCGCCGACGACGUUGGCCAACCAGUCUGGGUAAUGGGUUUUCCUGAUGACAUUGGCCUUCAUGAGCUUAGCCACUUCUUCUUCUAUGGCCUUCAAUCGUUCAGGAGAAAACUUUUUUCUCUUUUGGCGAAUUAGAGAAUGAUCAGGGUCGGUGAACCACUUGUGGACGGCGAUCUGGGGGUCUAUUCCUAGGACAUCGCCUUGCGACUAUGCAAAAAUAUCAUAGUUUUUCUUUAAAAACUCUAUUAGAGUGC
rnacentral:lncRNA from 1 species